CCCUUAGAUGUUCUGGGCUGCACGCGCGCUACACUGGUGCACUCAACGAGUUUACGACCUUGCCCGAUAGGGUUGGGUAAUCUUUUUAAAAUGCAUCGUGAUGGGGAUAGAUUAUUGCAAUUAUUAAUCUUCAACGAGGAAUUCCUAGUAAGCGCGAGUCACCAGCUCGUGCUGAUUACGUCCCUGCCCUUUGUACACACCGCCCGUCGCUCCUACCGAUUGAGUGCUCAGGUGAAUAAUUCGGACUGCAGCAAUGUUUGGAUCCCGAACGUUGCAGCGGAAAGUUUAGUGAACCUUAUCACUUAGAGGAAGGAGAAGUCGUAACA
rnacentral:rRNA from 1 species